rnacentral:rRNA from 1 species
UACGAAGGGUGCAAGCGUUACUCGGAAUCACUGGGCGUAAAGCGUGCGUAGGCGGCCUUCUAAGUCGAACGUGAAAUCCCCGGGCUCAACCCGGGAACUGCGUCCGAUACUGGAAGGCUUGAAUCCGGGAGAGGGAUGUGGAAUUCCAGGUGUAGCGGUGAAAUGCGUAGAUAUCAGGAGGAACACCGGUGGCGAAGGCGGGUCUCUGGGCCGAUACUGACGCUGAGGAGCGAAAGCGUGGGGAGCGAACAGG